GAACGGUGUGGCCACGAGAGUCUAGAGGAAACCAACCCGCAACUCACUGGAGCUGAAGGGCUGGUAGUCAGGCCGAAUCUCGCGAGAAUUGGAACUAUUUCAGAGCCAGAGGAGGAUAGUGGCGGCGGCGAACUUUGCCCGGUAGAUUUUACUGACUGGGGUGCUGGCGCGCGCCUUUUUCUCGGCCAGAAUCCAGUUAUUGGGAUAGUCUUGACUUCUACCUCAGCCCAACUUCUGUGGUCGUAAUAUUAGUUUAGCUUGGGUUUGCCGUGAAGUAAGAAGACUGACUUCCGCAAAGGUACUGAACGACUGGGUGUAGGUGCCAGGGCAUGGACGUGAAGCUGGAACCGCGAAAUGAGUUAGUUGUGGGCCGCUGGCCUCAAGGAGCGAACGUCAGCGCGAAGAGGAGAAGCUUGUGCAUACGCUCUGAUAAGGGUUUUAAUAGAGAGAUGGAAUCUCGCUGUGUCACCCAGGCUGGAAUGCAGUGACUCGAUCAUAACUCACUAUGACCUCGAACUCCCAGGCUAAAGCAGUCCUCAAGCAAUCCUUCCACCUCAGCCUUCUGAGUAGCUGGGAGUAGCUGAUUAACUAAUGCGUGUCACCACGCCCAGCUAAUUUGUGUAUGUGUGUGCACAGGUGUAGAGCUAGGGGUCUUGCUAUGUUGCUCAGGCUAGUCUUGAACUCCUGGCCUCAAGCAGUCUUGUCUUGACCUCUCAAACCAGUGGGACUGUAGGUGUGAGCCAUUGCUCCUGGCUGAGCACUGUUUUUUUUAGGACAGACUGUAUUCAUUGUUGCAAUCUUCAGCUUUUGGAACAUCGUCUAGGACAGAGAAGCUGCACAAUAUGUAUUUAUCGAAUGAGUGAAUGAUACUUUUGGGAGAGAAGACAGUGGGUUGGAGAAAUAUCUUGGAAGAAUUGGAAAUUUUAGGUGGACCUUGAAGAAAGGGUAAAAUUCAAUUAGGACACAAGCAGUGAUCAAAAGCAUUGAGUUGGGAACAAAGUGGUAGGAUGUGGGAGUUAGUAUAUAGUAAAAACAACUAAAAUAUAGAAAGAGAUUAUGUGUUUAAUAGAAAUAGGAUUGACUAAAGUGAAUCCACGUUGUAUCUGUAAGAGGUCCAUCGUUGAACUUUAUUUUUUUUUGUUUUGUUUUUGAGACAGGGUCUCACUCUGUUAUCUAGGCUGGAGUGCGGUGGCACAAUCUCAGCUCACUGCAGCCUCAGCCUCCCAGGUUCAAGUGAUUCUCCUGCUUCAGCCUCCCAUAUAGGGAUUACAGGCCUGCACCACCACACCUGGCUAAUUUUUGUAUUUUUAGUACAGACGGGAUUUCACCAUGUUGGCCAGGCUGGUCUCGAACUCCUGACUUCAAGUGAUCCACCCGCCUCGGCCUUCCAGAGUGCUGGGAUUACAGGGUUGAGCCACCACACCCAGCCUCAUGGUUGAAUUUUAGGAGAGCCGUACAUCUCCUCCUGAUAAUACAUGCAAAACUUCAUGUGUCCAUUUUUUUCUGAGUUGAAGUUUCAUAGUUUUCAUCCAAUUCUCAAAGGUGUUUAUAAACCAAUAAAGGUUAAGAAUCAUGUUGUGCAUUUGAAAGACUAAUAGAAAGGCUUAAGCUUAAUGCUGUAGCAAAUUAGUCUUCAAAAGUUUUCUACCAUAGCAUUCAUUAGGAACAGAAGAGGGGGAAUGAGACCCUAAGAUUUAGAGAUGAAGUCUGAAACUUAGGACUUUAUAUUUAUCUGAACAUCAUAUGUAAAUUUUACUAUUAUGGGACUGGUAUUAAUGCUUCCUUAUAAAAAUAUAUUUAGCCUCAUCAGUGAUCAGGGAACCAUAUUUGGGACCAGUCUGUUCAGUUGGCAAAAAUUAAAAAGGCCAUCAUAUCAGAAAGGAGAAGGUAAAAUGAUUUGUUCACAGACAGCAUGAUCUUUUAUGUACAAAACCCUAAAGAUUCCACCCAAAAAACCCUGUUAGAACUAAAAAACAAAGUUGCAGGAUGCAAAACCACACAAAAUUUAGUUGCAUUUCGAUGUAAAAUUUAAAAAGGAAAUCUUAAAAAUUCCAUUUGCAACAGCAUCAGAACUAAAAUACUUGUGAAUAAAUUUAACCAAAGAGGCAAGACUUGUACACUGACAACUACAAACAUUGCUGAAGCAA
rnacentral:lncRNA from 10 species